AACGCUGGCGGCGUGCUUAACACAUGCAAGUCGAACGGAAAGGCCCUGCUUUUGUGGGGUGCUCGAGUGGCGAACGGGUGAGUAACACGUGAGUAACCUGCCCUUGACUUUGGGAUAACUUCAGGAAACUGGGGCUAAUACCGGAUAGGAGCUCCUGCUGCAUGGUGGGGGUUGGAAAGUUUCGGCGGUUGGGGAUGGACUCGCGGCUUAUCAGCUUGUUGGUGGGGUAGUGGCUUACCAAGGCUUUGACGGGUAGCCGGCCUGAGAGGGUGACCGGCCACAUUGGGACUGAGAUACGGCCCAGACUCCUACGGGAGGCAGCAGUGGGGAAUAUUGCACAAUGGGCGGAAGCCUGAUGCGGCAACGCCGCGUGCGGGAUGACGGCCUUCGGGUUGUAAACCGCUUUCGCCUGUGACGAAGCGUGAGUGACGGUAAUGGGUAAAGAAGCACCGGCUAACUACGUGCCAGCAGCCGCGGUGAUACGUAGGGUGCGAGCGUUGUCCGGAUUUAUUGGGCGUAAAGGGCUCGUAGGUGGUUGAUCGCGUCGGAAGUGUAAUCUUGGGGCUUAACCCUGAGCGUGCUUUCGAUACGGGUUGACUUGAGGAAGGUAGGGGAGAAUGGAAUUCCUGGUGGAGCGGUGGAAUGCGCAGAUAUCAGGAGGAACACCAGUGGCGAAGGCGGUUCUCUGGGCCUUUCCUGACGCUGAGGAGCGAAAGCGUGGGGAGCGAACAGGCUUAGAUACCCUGGUAGUCCACGCUGUAAACGGUGGGUACUAGGUGUGGGGUCCAUUCCACGGGUUCCGUGCCGUAGCUAGCGCUUUAAGUACCCCGCCUGGGGAGUACGGCCGCAAGGCUAAAACUCAAAGGAAUUGACGGGGCCCCGCACAAGCGGCGGAGCAUGCGGAUUAAUUCGAUGCAACGCGUAGAACCUUACCUGGGUUUGACAUGGAUCGGGAGUGCUCAGAGAUGGGUGUGCCUCUUUUGGGGUCGGUUCACAGGUGGUGCAUGGCUGUCGUCAGCUCGUGUCGUGAGAUGUUGGGUUAAGUCCCGCAACGAGCGCAACCCUUGUUCACUGUUGCCAGCACGUUAUGGUGGGGACUCAGUGGAGACCGCCGGGGUCAACUCGGAGGAAGGUGGGGAUGACGUCAAGUCAUCAUGCCCCUUAUGUCCAGGGCUUCACGCAUGCUACAAUGGCUGGUACAGAGAGUGGCGAGCCUGUGAGGGUGAGCGAAUCUCGGAAAGCCGGUCUCAGUUCGGAUUGGGGUCUGCAACUCGACCUCAUGAAGUCGGAGUCGCUAGUAAUCGCAGAUCAGCAACGCUGCGGUGAAUACGUUCCCGGGGCUUGUACACACCGCCCGUCAAGUCAUGAAAGUUGGUAACACCCGAAGCCGGUGGCCUAACCGUUGUGGGGGAGCCGUCGAAGGUGGGACUGGUGAUUAGGA
rnacentral:rRNA from 1 species